rnacentral:rRNA from 1 species
UACGUAGGGUGCAAGCGUUAAUCGGAAUUACUGGGCGUAAAGCGCACGUAGGCGGCUUUGUUAGUCAGGGGUGAAAUCCCGGGGCUCAACCUCGGAACUGCCUUUGAUACUGCAAGUCUCGAGUCCGAUAGAGGUGGGUGGAAUUCCUAGUGUAGAGGUGAAAUUCGUAGAUAUUAGGAAGAACACCGGUGGCGAAGGCGGCCCACUGGAUCGGUACUGACGCUGAGGUGCGAAAGCGUGGGGAGCAAACAGG